GGAUGUCAUACUUCCAAAAAAAGCUUGCACUGUCAUAAUAAAAAACGCUUGUACCAUAACCGACACAGGUGGGUAGGUAGAGUAUACUAAGGGGCGCGAGAUAACUCUCUCUAAGGAACUCGGCAAAAUAACUCCGUAACUUCGGGAGAAGCAGUGCCUUAUUCGUAAGGCUGCAAUAACAAGAUCCAAGCAACUGUUUAUCAAAAACACAGGUCUCCGCUAAGUCGUAAGACGAUGUAUGGGGGCUGACGCCUGCCCAGUGCCAGAAGGUUAAAGAAGUCGGUUAGCAUUAGCGAAGCUGGUAACUGAAGCCCUGGUGAACGGCGGCCGUAACUAUAACGGUCCUAAGGUAGCGAAAUUCCUUGUCGGGUAAGUUCCGACCCGCACGAAAGGCGUAAUGAUUUGGAUACUGUCUCGGAGAGGGGCUCGGUGAAAUAGACUUGUCUGUGAAGAUGCGGACUACCUGCACCAGGACAGAAAGACCCUAUGAAGCUUUACUGUAACUUGAAAUUGAAAUUGGACUUUAUUCGCGCAGUAUAGGUGGGAGGUGUUGAUUAUAAUCUUGCGGGAUUAUUGGAGCCAUCAGUGAGAUACCACUCUUGUAAUGUUAGAUUUCUAACUUUGAAUCAUUAUCUGGUCAAAGAACAGUUUCAGGCGGGCAGUUUGACUGGGGCGGUCGCCUCCUAAAUGGUAACGGAGGCGUACAAAGGUUUCCUCUGAACGGGUAGAAAUCGUAUCUAGAGUGUAAAGGCAUAAGGAAGCUUGACUGUGAGACCUACAAGUCGAGCAGGGACGAAAGUCGGUCUUAGUGAUCUGACGGUACUGAGUGGAAAGGCCGUCACUCAACGGAUAAAAGUUACUCUAAGGAUAACAGGCUGAUCUCCCCCAAGAGUUCACAUCGACGGGGAGGUUUGGCACCUCGAUGUCGGCUCAUCGCAUCCUGGGGCGGUAGUACGUCCCAAGGGUUGGGCUGUUCGCCCAUGAAAGCGGUACGCGAGCUGGGUUCAGGACGUCGUGAGACAGUUCGGUCCAUAUCCGGUGUAGGCGUUAGAAUAUUGAGAGGAGCCUUCUUUAGUACGAGAGGACCGAGAAGGACAUACCUCUGGUGUACCAGUUAUCGUGCCAACGGUAAACGCUGGGUAGCUAUGUAUGGAGUGGAUAACCGCUGAAAGCAUCUAAGUGGGAAGCCCACCUCAAGAUAAG
rnacentral:rRNA from 1 species